rnacentral:rRNA from 1 species
GAACGCGAAGAACCUUACCUGGCCUUGAACAUAGUAGAGACUUUCCAGAGAUGGAUUGGUGCCUUCGGGAAUCUACAUACAGGUGCUGCAUGGCUGUCGUCAGCUCGUGUCGUGAGAUGUUGGGUUAAGUCCCGCAACGAGCGCAACCCUUUUCCUUACUUGCCAGCAUUUCGGAUGGGAACUUUAAGGAUACUGCCAGUGACAAACUGGAGGAAGGCGGGGACGACGUCAAGUCAUCAUGGCCCUUACGGCCAGGGCUACACACGUGCUACAAUGGUCGGUACAAAGGGUUGCUACACAGCGAUGUGAUGCUAAUCUCAAAAAGCCGAUCGUAGUCCGGAUCGCAGUCUGCAACUCGACUGCGUGAAGUCGGAAUCGCUAGUAAUCGCGGAUCAGAAUGCCGCGGUGAAUACGUUCCCGGGUCUUGUACACACC